AAUGAAUCAGAUUACAUGGAGAGGGGGACCUGAUCCUAGAUCAGCACUCCUCCUCUGGGACACUGCCUGUGUGAAACAGAACACAUAGUUGUAAAGUCUAGUUACAGCAGGUGUGUACUGCCAUCUAGUGGAAGAUACCAAUAAAACACUUUAUUAUCAGGAUGGGGAGACGGCUGAGCUGAAACAGAAAGUAAAGUUGUUCUUUUGGAAAGGAUCCAUUUUGAGGACAGAGCUAAAAACGCCAUAUGGAGAGAACUGACAAAUAAAGGGUCAGUGCUCUAAAAUGAGUCUCUCUGGGGAGAGAGAGGGGGGCCCUGCCUCUAAAAUGCAUCUCUCUGGGGGACAUGACACCAAAGCUAAGAGCCCAAUCCAUCAGGAGAGACCAGACUCACCCAGCUGGCUGUCCAUGAAGAGUGACGGGUCUAUGGAACUUUUUUUUGAUUGCGAAGAUGGAGACUUUACUGCAUUUACAGGUCCAAUCAAGCAGGAGAGACGACUCCCCUGUACCCAGC